rnacentral:rRNA from 1 species
UUGGAGGGCAAGUCUGGUGCCAGCAGCCGCGGUAAUUCCAGCUCCAAUAGCGUAUAUUAAAGUUGUUGUGGUUAAAAAGCUCGUAGUUGAACCUUGGGCCUGGCUGGCCGGUCCGCCUCACCGCGUGUACUGGUCCGGCCGGGCCUUUCCCUCUGUGGAACCCCAUGCCCUCCACUGGGUGUGGCGGGGAAACNGGACUUUUACNGUGAAAAAAUUGAGUGCUCCAGGCAGGCCUAUGCUCGAAUACAUUAGCAUGGAAUAAUAGAAUAGGA